rnacentral:lncRNA from 1 species
CAGGCGGUCAGGAAGGAACAGUGGCAGAAGAGCAGAGGGGGAGCCAAGACAAACUGACACCAACCAGUGAGGAAAGCUGGAACCCGUGUCCCUCUCUCACCACCUUCAAAACCUCCAACUUCCAUGCGGCAGGUGACCCGCCAGAGAGGCUGGUUUUCUGUGGAGGAGCUAAACACGCACUGGCCCAGGAGUUGGAGAUGCUGGAGGAGGACACGUGAUGAGGGGAGGAGCUGCAGGCUCGGCUGAUAGGCCCCAGAGACUGUACUCGGUGCGCGAGGGUUUGGAGGAGUCCGCCCGCUGCUGGGGCACGGAGGGCAGGGCCUCCGCCCCACGCCAUCGAGGAGAGCGUUAGGUCAGGGACGGCGUGCGUGAGAGGCGUGUGCGCUGGUGCCCUAUUCUGACUGCUAGAGCUAAAAAGACUGUGGCUGACGCUUCUCUCCUGACUUACAGAUCUCACACAUGUUGUCUGUUUGUGACCAGCGCUAUGCAGGCUCUCAAAAUCUUUCAUUCAUCUUAACUGAACUGUGACUCCAAACGUCCACUUCUGUGCACCUGCGUCAACGGUUUUCUGCUGUCUUAUGUCUCAAAGUCCAACUUGAUUAUCCUCACACUUGGCAGUAGAUCAUCAGGGAUAAGAGGGAGAGAUUUAGGAAUUCAAUUAUUUGUUUCCAUAAGUUUGAAGAUGACUCUUCCCUUCCUGUUGUCUUUUCUUGUUUGUCAAAUGCAAGCUACAGAAUUUGCAGCCCAGUGCAAAAUGAAGAUGUGGGGCCCUUUAUUCAAAUGUCACUAUGAAUUUCAAGACAGCAACAUCAGAGCAUUAAACCAAGCCUAGGGCCGUUCUGAGCCCAAGGACAUGUGCCACUGCACAGGUCCCAUGUCCAUGCAGCUGGCCCUGAAGGGAAGUAAUGAUACGUGCCUGCUCUCAUAAGAGUCAAAAGGAAAGAUGCAUGUGAAAACACUUAGUAAAGCACAAUGCAAAAAACUAAUUUACUAGGAUUUGUUAAAACUCUCAAUAAAGAAUUUCUUGUUAU